GGGCGUAUAGCUCAGCUGGGAGAGCACCUGCCUUACAAGCAGGGGGUCACAGGUUCGAGCCCUGUUACGCCCACCA
rnacentral:tRNA from 2 species